rnacentral:rRNA from 1 species
GAUGAACGCUGGCGGCGUGCCUAAUACAUGCAAGUCGAGCGAACAGACCAGGACCUUGCUCCUUUCUCGUUAGCGGCGGAGGGGCGAGUAACACGUGGGUAACCUACCUAUAAGACUGGGAUAACUUCGGGAAACCGGCGCUAAUACCGGAUAAUAUAUUGUAUGGCAUGGUUCAAUAGUGAAUGUCGGUUUUGCUGUCAGUUUUAGGUGGAUCCGCGCCGCAUUAGCUAGUUGGCAAGGUAACGGCUUACCAAGGCAACGAUGCGUAGCCGACUUGAGGGGGUGAUCGGCCACACUGGAACUGAGACACGGUCCAGACUCCUACGGGAGGCAGCAGUAGGGAAUCUUCCGCAAUGGGCGAAAGCCUGACGGAGCAACGCCGCGUGGGUGAUGAAGGUCUUCGGAUCGUAAAACUCUGUUAUUAGGGAAGAACAAAUGUGUAAGUAACUAUGCACGUCUUGACGGUACCUAAUCAGAAAGCCCCGGCUAACUACGUG